ACAUAAACACCUGCCUACCAACUAGAUUUCUCUUGAUACUUGAUGGGCUUGCCGAAGACUGGGGGCAAGGGGGGCAUGUUAGAAGCCACUACAGGAAACAAGUUACAAGUGUCCUCUACACAGCUGUAAAAAUGAGUACACUAUAAUCAACGUUCUCAGUGGGAUACAGAUGUGCAAACAAUCAAGUAUAGUAAGUACAUUGACACAUGGCAGUGGAGAUGCAAAUAUCAAGUGCAGUGGGAGUAAACCUUUCAUCCAAGAGUAUAAGUUGUCCUCUGCUUCUCCCAACAGUAAUUCUUACCUGAGCAGCCUUCCUACAUGGGAAAGCUGCUUCACUCAGGUUCUGCCUGUGAAUACAUGAGUCUGCAGGAAUCUGGGGGUUCGGCAUCAGUGAGCCCAUUUGGCUAAGAAAAUCAAAGUUAUAUCUGCCAUCUUAGCUUAACUGAUUAAACAAA